rnacentral:lncRNA from 1 species
GCCCAUCCUGGUGUCAUGUACAGAACUGAUCCCUGCUGUUCAUGGACUAGUGGUCUAGUCCAUGAUCUCUCCCAGGGCAGGGGGAUAACCCCCAUGCCCUGUGACAUGGGCACGGAUGCAGCCUGACCUCUGGACCGGAUACCAGUCCCAUACCCUUCUACUUCCCAGAACUUGUGCUUCAGAUGCCGAGAGUCACAAUUGUUCAGAGGCGCCCAGAGCUGAGUACUCUCCUUGUCCUCUCUUAGGUCCAGGAAGUAAAUCUAUUUGCAGCCUGUUCUCCAUCCUUCCAUGCUCUUGUAAACCCUGGGAAGUACAAACUGUACAGCUCCUGGGGGGCAUUCUCGUUCCCUGAGUAACAUGGUUGUUGUGCUCUUUUUCUCUGAAAGGUCACGUUACUUCAACCUCUCUUCCCUUCCCAGUGAAUGAAACCUUGAAGGCCGUGUCCCAUGUCCUCAUCAGCCUGCCUGUCACUAGCACAGGAGAGGGAGCGAUAAUAGUCGUUUCAGGAACAGGAAGUAGGGACACGCGAGCCACCAAGCAAUGUGUGCCGGAUGCCAUCUGUGUCUUAUCUGGCUUAAUGCUUCCCAAAUUCCCAUGUUGUUGCUGAUGAAGAAAAUGACACUUGAAAAUCUGCGCAGGGACGUGGAUAGCAGCUUUAUUCAGAAUCGCCAAAAUCUGGAAGCGACCAAGAUGCCCUUCGGUGGGUGAAUGGACGGAUAAACGGUGGUACCUCCAGAUGACAGAAUAUUAUUCAGCACCGAAAUGAAAGGAGCUAGCAAGCCAGCAAAGGACAUGAAGGGAACUUACAUACAUCUUACUAAGUGAAAGAAGCCAAUCUGAAAAGGCUGCACACCCUUUAGGAUUCCAGCUAUCCAACAUUCUGGAAAAGGCAAAACUACAGAUAGUAAGAGAUCAGUGGUUGCCAGGGUUAGGGGAGAGGAAGGGAUGAACAGGCACAGAAGAUUUUUAGAGCAGCCAAGCUCUGCUGUGUGAUACUAUCACAGUGGAUCCUGUCAUUACACGUCUGCCCAAACCCACAGAAUGUGCAGCAUCAGAAUGUACAUUGUGGGCUCUGAGUGGCUGUGAUGUAUCAGCCUAGGUUCAUCGCUUGUAGCAAAAGGAGCACCUUUGGUAGGGAUGUCCACAGCAGGGGAGGCUAUUCAUGUGGCGCGGGGGGAGAGGGAGGCCGUGGAUACAUGGGAAAUCUCUGUACUUCCCUCUCACUUUUGCUGUCAACCUAAAACUGCUCUAAAAAAAUAAAUCUUUUUUUUUUUUUUAAUAAAGUGUCA